CCUACGGGAGGCAGCAGUGGGGAAUCUUGCGCAAUGGCCGAGAGGCUGACGCAGCGACGCCGCGUGGGGGAUGAAGCAUUUCGGUGUGUAAACCCCUGUUGCUCGGGACGAACGGCCUGAUUCAUCAGGUGUGACGGUACCGAGUGAGGAAGCACCGGCUAACUCCGUGCCAGCAGCCGCGGUAAUACGGAGGGUGCGAGCGUUGUCCGGAAUCACUGGGCGUAAAGGGCGCGUAGGUGGUUGGAUGCGCCGGUGGUGAAAGCGCAGGGCUCAACCCUGCGUCGGCCAUCGGGACGGUCCGACUGGAGCACUGUAGAGGCAGGUGGAAUUCCGGGUGUAGCGGUGGAAUGCGUAGAGAUCCGGAAGAACACCGGUGGCGAAGGCGGCCUGCUGGGCAGUUGCUGACACUGAGGCGCGACAGCGUGGGGAGCAAACAGGAUUAGAUACCCUGGUAGUCCACGCCGUAAACGAUGGGCACUAGGUGCUUGGGGGAGCGACCCCCUGAGUGCCGACGCUAACGCAUUAAGUGCCCCGCCCUCGGGGGAGGACGGACCGCCGAAGGUAGUAACGUAACGAAAGAAAGUAGUACGGCGUGAGACGAGCGACGGACGACGACGAGGGAGGAGG
rnacentral:rRNA from 1 species